CAUAUUUGCAGGAUAUUUGAUUGUGUGAUAGAAUAUUUUGUUUCUGUAGAGGGGCUAUGGCGAUAAACGCUAUACAGGAUAGGUGAUACGGACCCGGGGGCAGAACCCGGCACCUCCACCAUAUUUGGGGGUGAGUAGCUUCGACGUCCAUCGAAGGGUAUAGUUUUCGCUC
rnacentral:tmRNA from 1 species